UUUAAACAUCAAACUGGUCUGCAGCAGUUUCUCAAACGACGUAUCUGGGUCCCAAACUGGGUCAACAGGAACAGAAACACCUCCUAAGAAACAGGAGGUUCCUAGAAGAAAGCAAUCAUCAGUGGGUGGAGCCGAAGACCCAAUCACCCAUGAGUUUGUGGUUUGAUUCCUGGCACUGACAGUCAAGGGGUUUACCAGUGGAGAGCACAGGCCAACAAGACAGCCUGCAAACUAAAGUAGAGCAUUGAGUGUAAGAAGUUUUUCCUUGCCACCGUUGCCAAGUGCUUGCUCAUGGUGGGAACAGUUGGGUCUCUGUAAGUAAUUUUAUAAGGAGUACAGUCUAGACCUACUCUAUUUUGAACAGUGUCCUGAGAUAACUUCUGUUAUGAUUUGGCGCCGUACAAAUAAAAUUGAAUUGAAUUGAAUUGAAUUGAGUUGAGUGUUUUCUGCAAAUAAAAAACUUGGAGAAACCCGCCUCAAUGUCUGAAUAAACCUUUACAUAUCUGUGUGUAUAAUCCGUGUUUGUCAAUGUUUUAACCUCGUUUCACACUUUGUAAAGCGUUUAGAACUUGUAUAAACUUGUGCAUUCAAAUAAACUUGAACUUGACAAAGUGCCU